GCAGGAGGAUGAGAAAGGGAAGAAUCAGACAGAUAUCAUCAUUCUCGUUUGCGUUCUGCUCUUGUUGAUCGCUUUGGUCGCAGCAGGCGUCGCCAUUAGCAGGAGAAGAUGGAACCAACAUAAAAUGUAACAUCAGCAGCAGCAGCAGCAGCAGCAGGAGCAGCAGGAGCAGCCGGAGCUGAUGUACAGUUUGAUCCAGUUCAGCUCUGACCUGCCGGAGCUCCAAAAUCAAGGUACUGCGAUAGAGAACAUCUACCAGAACCACAGCACUGGUUAUGCUGGCGGCAACAGCGACUGUGUUUACGAGGUCUGACUCUGAGGCGUGAGAGGAGAGAAACCAACUACGAGUCCCAGAGGGCUUUGCUGCAAGAAACAUCCAAUCAGAGAGCUUCAGACGGCGUCCACGUCAUGUGAUGAUGGAGGAUGUUGAUGACCUGCAGGCGUUCAGGUCAUGAAGACGACUGCUUGUUUUUAUAUUUAAUUUAAUAUCACAUCAAACUACUUUUUAUGUGUUUGUGUUAAUAUUUAAAGAAAAUGAGCUUCUGCUUUUUAUUGUAUCAGCUCAGCAUUUAAAUC